rnacentral:lncRNA from 1 species
UAAGGGACCGACGAACCCCGUCAUUCCGCGUCGAUCCAUCGAUCUUGGCAUAAAUGAAAGAAAAAUACUAGAAAAAACAGUAGUACUCCUAGUUGUCUUGCGAGCUCUCCUGCUCUCAAUUAGCCUUGCUUAAUCUUGUUGUGUCGUCGUAGUUUGAGUUUUCAGCCAAAGAUCGAGCGGAGGUCAAUUGCGCUGCGUAUGUGUUCAGUUGUCUGUAAAUGGUGUAGUGUGUAAUAAGAUGCAGUGAUACAAUGGCUAUUCCGUGCAAAUGGUUUUCCGGUUUUCGUUGCCUCAUCUUUGGCGCUGUGAUUUUGUUAAACUUUGAAAGAUAGAGCAUGAAACACAAUGAUGCAUAUACAUAUCUGAUGGAGAAAAGCAGAGAUUCAACUUCGCAAUCCAGAAUGACUAAACUGGACUGCUAUUUGAGAUAAGAACUAACUAAACAGUUUGCUCUCGGCAUCUGUUAUACUAUGUUCAGACUUUUUAUGGAGUAAAACCUGUACACUUGGAAGAAGAGUGGGUACCAAGCUGCUGAAUCAAUCUUCGCUAUACAUUCCAUUUCCUGCUAUGUACUUUUGCAUUGAGACACAGCUUCCCUCGGUCAGAGCUGUUAUCUACCUUCCCUCGGUCAGUCUUUUUACCUAUCACAGCUUCCCUCGGCAGUUUUCAGCGCCACAGAAACAUUCCGUCUGUGGACCAAAAUGCUGCUGGAAGCUACAAGAUGGACCCAAAAAAAUUUGAGAUGUACAUCAUAAAACAUCUAUCGUGAGGUCACUAGAUCAUCUCUUCUGUGUAUUUGCAACACUAAUUUUCCAAGUGAAGCAAUAUAGGAGAAGUUUUUUAGUGCUUCCCCAAUGCUAAAUAUUUUACUCAGGUUCAGUGCUAUGUGUCAAAGAUAAAUCCAGAAUCUAGGGCGAGAAUUGCAUUUCUGCUUCAGCUUCCCCGGUUUAGUUGGUUUGGAGGCGGUUAAUCUGGCUAUCUUUUACUCCCUCGGUCCCAUAAUGUAAGAUGUUUUUGGAUACUACACUAAAGUCAAAAACAUCUUAUAUUAUGAGCCGGAGGGUGUACCAUUUUACACUGAACUCUGCCUAUGCACAGUCGCAAUAAUGUCUCGGCCCUAAGUUUUUUGUCAACAAGUAAUCAACCAUUACUGUGUUAACAAAUGCCGUGGAAUACACAAGAACUUAAAACUAUAGUAACAAUUAGUGCUUGAUGCCUCUGGAGAAUUAAUAUUGCGGUGCCACAUGCAAAUUGCCGCUAUGUUGAACUUAUAUUGCAUCAGAAUACUUGAAGUUUGGAAGAUUUCAGAAAGGUUGACACUUGACAGUUGACACCGAGGGAUACUGGAUUUAGCAUCACCACUGCUGACAUAUCCUUUCCAGGUAAACCUAGUGCUAUCAUUAGGAUUUUAUUUUAUUUAUCUAUGGUGUCAGUUUUUAUUGACCAAUGUAAAGCCAGGAAAACAAAGUACAAAUGCUGAAACAUAAAACGGAAUCCAGAUUUUUUUUUUACAGUGGAGCACCAGAAAAGGAAAAAUGAUAAGAGACAUAUCGUUUAUUCUCUAAAGGUGUAUGGUUUAGUCAGGAUAAAGAUCCAACUAAGCAUCUGUAUGGCUACACAAAUUAACGUUGUAAAUGAUCUGCUGGUGUUAGAAUGCAUACAAAUUAUACCAAACGUCAAUGUGAGUACUCCCUCCAUUCCAUAAUGUAGUGUGUAUAGAUUUUUUCCAAAAGUCAAACUUUGCAAAUUUUGACCAUGUUUACAGAGAACAAUAUUUACAUUUAGAAUACCAAAUGCAUAUCAUUGGAUACAUUGUGAGUUAAGUUUUCAUAUUGUAUAUGUUUGAUAUUCUAGAUAUAGCUAAGUUUGACUUCAUAUAAUCUAUAUGCACUACAUUAUAAAAGGAGGGAGAAGUACAUAACAGAAAAACGUAUAUGAAAUGAUAGGCUGAUUGAGUCUCUCAUGUACCUGUAAUUGUAGGUCAAGGGCUCACCCACUUGUAUACCCUGUAAAGAAAACACACCUAACCUUGUCUUGCCAUUUACUUGCCUGGCGACAGACAACUCAGUUAAGCCCUAAAAAACACUUCUAGAGAAUAAAGGAGCAGUAAGCUAAGCUUCUGCAAAUAAGAGAUUUACCAAUUCUCCAACUGACAGUUAGGUCUGCAGCUGUGGUUAAAAAAGCGACAAUCAUUUCCUCUGAAUGUUGCAUCUAUUAUAAAGUUGUUGUUGACUUUACACAUGUAGAAAUUUUGAUCUCGGCGCUUUUUCAUGUCUUGAAGCCUCUCUUCACAUCUCGCGCCAUCUAUAACUGGGAUGGGGCAUUAAAUAAUUAUAAAAUAGUAUAUGAUCUACAAAUUUGAAGAGUACACUGAGUUGAGCACCAAUCAUUAAUAUUUUAGUAUCUAUUCUAGCAAUGAAACUAGCUUUUGAUUUUGACAGACAUGAACUCAAGUUAACAGCAAUAUGUUCCAGCACAAUAGCAGCAUAGCUCACACAUAAUAAUUAGGAAGGUAAUCACUAGUCACAGUCUCCUGUACAGACCACAAGCACGGAAAUUGGACAUGAUGCCCAAAAGGAUCUUUAGUAAGUUGAGUCGAUCCAAAAGAAAUUGGAGGCACCAAAUCUGUUUUGUAUCGUUGCUUCGGUUUUUCUCAUCUUUAUUGUAAUGAUGAUGGUAAGGUUCAUGACACAUGGCAACAAGACCUUAAUUUCAUUUUCAACAGCCACAAAAGUCCAGGGCACAGAUAAAAGAAUGGUACUCCCUCUGUUCACAAAUAUAAGAUGUUCUGACUUUUUUAUGAAUCAGAUGUAUAUAGACACGUUUAGUGUGUUUGUAAACUCAUUUCAGUCCGUAUAUAGUCCAUAUUGAAAUAUCCAAAACAUCUUAUAUUUAUGAACGGAGGGAGUAAUACAUAGCAAUACGCAAUUCCUUGAACUGGGAGAUUGUUGCCAUAUGCUGAGAACAAUAACACCAAAGAAAAGAACAUAUCUCCACACAAACAAACAUAUAUGACUUAGUUAAAGGAGUAGACAUAAAGAAGCUCCGGCGUGGCAAUGCGAAUUCAUCGCUUCCCUGACCAUUCAUGGCCUGGUGGCUGUGGAAACAGCAAAGUGACUGCACCUUAAAUGUUGCAAGCCCAGACAUCUUCAGGCUCACCCAAAUCACCCAGGAAGAAGCGUGUGCUAGGGACAGGGACGGUGUGCAGGGCCUGAGCAUGGUUCUAAUCGAGUAGCCGUGUGUGUGUGCGUGCGCGCGCGCUCACAUUUGUUGUGGGUCACAUCCCAUGGGAGUUGUGUGUGGUUCAGAAGGAAAUUUAAAAUCGAAAUGAUGCUAAAGUUACACUACCAGCAAUUGCUUAAGGAGGUGCAUCUGAAUUGGGGCAUGUUGAUGUGUGAAAAUGAAUGUUUUCUUAUAAGUAAACUGCAAAGCAGGCAAAAAUAGGUAUACCCUUUUUUACAAAUUAACUUAAAAUAGCUCAGGUUGAAAACAAGAACCAGUUGUGAUAAGCACCUGCACUGUACAGAUAAGCACCAGUUUAUUUUUUCUAAGCAGUACUCUAAGCACCUAGCAUUGUACAUGGCCUAAGUAACCUUCUGGAUGUCUGAAACAAGAACCAAUGAAAAGGGCUAAUCAGGAAAGUUAACAGGUACGGAAAGGAGUACCUAUUGUUGAAUACUAAUCAAGGUCAGCAUUAAUAAGCUUAUCUGCUAAGUUCUUUCAAUCACUGUACAGUAACUUGAUUCAACACGCACAUAAGAAGCAGCAAUGAUUAGUGCAACAACUGCAGCAGAAGAAGGGGUUUAAACGAACUACAAUCAGAUUAUAAAGCAAACCAAAGAACGAAUCUCAAAUACCUUCUCCGACAAACUCUAUCACAAAAUCACCUUCCUCAAUGGUUUCCAAUGCUAUGGCACCCCAUCCACAAUGUUGUGUCUACAGAAAAAUUCCAUCAGGAAGUUAUUUGCCACACAAAAAUAUCUUAAUCAUACUAUAUUACCAAAGAAAGUUAAUAACAAGAUGCACAAAUAAAAGGAAACAAAAAUAUAUUUAUAAUAUUGGUGCACCAGAUCAAGUUUAGGUAUGAAACUCGAAAUAGAAGAAUAAAAUAAAAUACUUUAUAGAAACAGGAGAAGGAAGAGCAGUCAUGAAAUUAAAGAGUAUGCUAACAUUGUAAAAACAUUCUAAGGUGUACAAGUUAAACCUUUAAUUACUUUUUGUCUUCUCAAAACAUGAACAGAAGAAGUCCAAUGAAUUCCUUACCUUAACAACCCCGAUCCUUUUCUCUCUGCGAAAUGGUCUGUUACUGCACUUAUUUGAGCACUUGCAAGCCUGAGAGCAGCUAAUGGACACAGACCUGUAGGAAUUAUCUUAACUUUCUAUCAAAAAUUGUACAUGCAUUUAUGUAAAAUGAAGGCGUAGAAGCAUUUUAUAGAAUACACAUACUCCAAACUCUAAGAUACAGCAUUACAGUAGACAUCGGAAAAAACAUUUGCUGUUCAAUUGGAGUAUAAUAAUCUGAAAAAUUAUAAGCGCUUUCAAUUAUGAUGAGAAUCAACUCAUACAAAACAAAGAUAUACACAGAGAAUAAGGAACCCCCACAAGCACGGACAUAAUAAUUAAAUUGGCCUGUACCUGCACGAGCAUCUUAUUUGACAGGUCAGAGGAGGGUCACAAUCGCUGCAUUUAGCUUCAAUGACAUCACCAUCACAUUUCUUCUUGACAAAAUACACAUCUUAGCUCAUUGAGGAAAUGAAAAAUUCCUAAGUUGAAAGAUAAAAAUGAAAAAGAUAUAAAAGGGAAACUGAACUAGUUUAAAUUGCAAUCAUAUGAAGGAUACUAUGCUUCAAAUGUACAUAUGGAGGUGGUUUUGUCACACUUUCCAACUCCUCCUUCCUAAUAGGGUUAAUAUUGAACUCUUGAUCAGCAUACGGGAGAGGUAAUCGCCGGAAGGCUUCCUGUAAAUGAAUCAAUACUCAACAAUGAAUACAGAUCAAAGAAAAACUGUAAGAACAAAACCAUUAAUAGUCCACCAACAUCACAUUUUUAGGAAGGCAAUACGACAGAGAAACAAAAUUGGAUAAGUUCUGUGUGUUCAACAAUACAGAGAAUCAAAUGUGCAGUGGAACUAUUAACCACCUCAAUGUUAUAUGCUGGACCUGCACCCUGUAAGAAGAACAUAUCACACUGUCAGCAACAUUAACAACAACAGAAAUAACCAAAGCCUACAGAAAUAGAGAUAUCAAACAAAAUGCAUUCAACCAUAUUAAAGCAAAUGGUAUAGAACAAAUUGUUGAAUAUUCUUUCUUUUAAUGAUUUAAUGAGAAGUAGUCAGCAAAGAGAAUAUUUUUGAAAUGCAUAUUGGAGGCAUUUACUAUUGGAGGAUGCCGUCUGCAGACCAACUUAUCCAAAGAGGCCCUCCGUUGUCGAUACACUAAUACUCCCUCCGUCCAAUAAUAUAAUAACGUUUUUGACACUACACUUGUGUCAAAAACGCUCUUAUGUUAUGGGACGGAUGGAGUAGAAGUUACAAAAUUGAAACCAGAGUGCAAAAACAACUUUCAUAAUAAGACCUUCAGAAUUGGUGAUACGAAAUAAGAACAUAUGCUUGAUAUGGUAAAAGACUGUCGGUACGUGAGCAUAUAAGGUUUAUUGUGCGUCACAGAACCUGCUCAAUAGCCUGUACAAAUUGGGAAUCGUGGGGCUGAGGGCUAUGGUCACGAAGAAGGUAUAAUUCAAAUUUGCAUCCCUGUGCUUCAUUACACUAAAGGCUUUAAUUUAUACUACUCUCUCAUCAGCCAAUACUGAACAAUCAUAUCAACCCAAUACUAAAUAAGCUUACCAUGUUUUUAUUGUAAUUCUCAGCUCUUGUCUAUUAAGUAGAAAACUGUAGACACUCAGUCGCUGUUAUCUAGGAUAAACUGCCAUGAUGCUGGUUAAAAACCCAAUUAUCCACACUGCUAUAUUUUUGUAGGCACUGAAGAUAUAUUUUAUAUAAGAAACUGACAGAGAAGCACCAAAUAGGGUGGAUGAAGCAUAGCAUCAACCUCACUCGUUGAUGGCCAAAUACUCCAACUUAUCAUUAGCUUUGAAGGAUCAACAGACCCAGUCAUUCUGUUUUGAUGCAGCGAACAUUGUGUACAUGCAGGCAUUACAUGUUUCAGCCGGUGCCAAGUUGUUCUCCUUUUGCAGUGAAAACAUAUCUGCACAGUUAACAUAAAUAUGAGGGGAUAAAUAAUCGUAAAUUGUUCAAACUAACAAAGACUUCAACGAAACAAAAUAUAAUUAUUUCUCAUUGGAUGCACAGAUAGGCAUUUAUAUCUAUAGUAUAUCAUUGUUUGUAAUCUUGGGAAAAAAUACAAUUGCUUUUUUAGAUCUGUAACUUUGUUUCAGCAACUUACAUGUCGAGGGCAGCUUCCAUCACUUUGUUCAGAACAGGCCUUAUGCAAGGUUACUUCACAGUGAUGACCUGAGCAUCGCGUCCUUUCAUCGGGCAGGAUACUCCUCGAGCAAAUCAGGCAUUCAACCUAAAUCCAAAGGAUUUUAAAGAUUCCUUCUUUUAGAGAAUCAGUAGGGAAUCACACUCACACUACCUUGGUAACAUCCGGAGUACACAUUAAAAUACUGUGUGAACAGAAUCACUUGAUAUUGGUAUCCUAUAUUCAGAAGCUUUAAAGUGGAUCAGAAUCCUAUAGGAAGUGUUACUUGGCAUCCUUCCUUCAUUUCUCGACCAAGCUUUCACCUAAUAUUUAAUUAACUUAUAAGAGUCUGACUGUGUUUCUAUGCAGAAGAUUCCAUACCCUGAUCACCUUGAUGUCCCUUAUUACAAGAUUUAUAGCAUAUUCCAGGAUUAUUGUUCCCUUAUUUAUCAGCAACCAGAGCUACAGAGAAUGAAUACAAGCAACGGCACAACACUUGUGUUUAACUGAACUCUCAAUAUUACAGCCUUCUUCUGUCAGUUCUAUCAGAGUUGGGUGAUCACAUAUGCAGUCACUUUUUAUACAGGUUGUCAAAGCAUCUUGUCCAAAGAACAUUCCAGGAACAUAUACUUUGGAAGGCAUCCAUAUUUCCUAAGAAAAUCUACCCUCUUCAAAAAAAUCAGUUUCUUCAGGUUACACGCACUUAGGUGAUGUCGUUGGGCUCAAGAGUUUGAGUCUCAUCUCCUACCUUAACUGAAAAGACACAUAGUUCCUCCUGUGUGCUGUAGCUUCUUUUUCUGGCAUAGAGCUAAAUUCUUCCAUAUGUGCUCUGCAUACAUAACUUGAGAUGCCACUAUUCGUCCAGUUCAUAUGGUUAAUGUUAUAGAACUCAAUUUAACAUUUUGUAACAUGUUUCUGAAGUACUCCAUGCUCUUUAGUUGUGAGCAACUAUCGGAAACAGUGUGUGCCCUCAGUCCAAUUGUCCUAUAAAAUGAAUAACCACCUCACAUUUUCUAGUGUGGUGAUGUCCCUAUUCAGAUAUAACCCUUAUUCCACUGAUUUGCACAUCUUUGUCACAGUUCUUGUUUACUCUCCAAUUUCUAUGGUGGUAUCCAAAUCCAUCUAGUGUAUCAUUUGCUCUCAGUGUGGAGUACUAAUAACCGCAUUGAGACUCAUUGUUCUUUGUUCCAAACCAUGUUCCCCUUUCGGUCUCUGUCCCGAGUUCCGUGCCACCAGACAAUCACCCCCAUUUAUCAGUUCAUCCCGUUUCUAGCAAACCUAACAUUUUCGUUGUCAUCAAAGUCCUGUUUGACACAAGUUGGUAACUGAAUUGCCGGCCUGGCAGUGGCACGUACCUUCCUCGGCGCGCCUUUCUGGAGGAACGGGAGGACGCACUCCUCCGCCGGGGCGCCUGACGCGGCCUUCGCUGCCCCCCACUCCUCCGCGCAUGCCUGUACUGUCCGCCGCAGAGGCGCCGCGGGGGACUUGCGCCGUAUCCGCGAGGACGACGGCGCCGCCGAGGGGAGGCCACGGACGCGAGUCCGGACGCUGAUGCGCACCGACCGUCGGGGGUCCGUUCCUCCUGGAGACCCCGCCGCGGCCGGCGGGGACGGUGGCGGGGGAGAGCAGGGGGGCUGGUGGGUCGCCUGUGGGCGGAGGCGGGCGGAACGGCGGACGGGCGGAGCGGCCGGCGCUGGGCGGGGAGGCCCCGCCAUUGGUGCUUACACGGCGAUCGGACGGGACAGGAUUAGGGUUUCGGUGCGACGCGCGGCGCGGGGUUGGGAGGAUUUGGGGAGGUUGCGGGGCGGAGAGGGACGGAGUGGAGGAGCGGGGGAGGGCGGGAAGCAGAAGAAGGGGAAGCGCGGCUGCGGUUUGGGUAGUUCCUUUCUUCUCUUUUUAGUGGCGGAGUGGGGUCGCGGGGUGCGGUGAUUGUAUUGUAACGCUUAAACAACGCUCAUUUCGACCGUUAAGGCAAAUCGGCCACUGCAUCCGCAAGACCGCAAAUGGUCCGGCUUGGGUGCGGCCCAUAAAAGUAGUACCUGCAGUUUUCUUCAUUUUACGAAAUUUUCACUUUUUUCUCUAAAAAAAACGAAAUUUUCACUAAAAAGUACAGUAUACACUGUUCUAAAAAAACUAAAAAUUAUAUAAAUUAUUAACAACUGCAGUACAUUAUAAUAAAAGUAAACAUAAAUGUGUGUUAUAAAAUGUUUGCAUAAAUUUAAAAGUAAUAUUCAUGUACUCCUAAAAACUGUUUCAUACAAUUUAACAAAAUGUUUCACGCAAUUUGAGAAAAUGUUCAUGUGAUUAAAUAAAACAUUUCAUAAUAAAAAUAUGUUAAUGUAAUAAAAUAAUUGUAUGCUGAAAAUCUUCAUGUGGUUUAAAUACAUGUUCAUGCAUUAAGCAUCUAUGUAUUAAAAUAGGUGUGGCUCUAAAUGUGUUCACGUCUUAAAAAAAUAUUCGUGUAAUUUAAAAAAAUAUUUGCUCGUUUAUUAAAUUUUCAUGUAAAAAUGGUACAUAAUUUGAGAAAUGUUCAUGUAAUAAAAAAACUGUCCAAGGCAAGAAACCUGCAAUUAAAAAGCUUUAAGUUCUCUUACAAAUGUGUUCAUAUUAUUUUGAAAUUUUUCGCCCCUUUAAAAAAACACUCACAUAUACAUGUAAUUUGAGAAAAAUGUUCAUGUAAAAAUAUAUUUCUUUAAGAUAAACAGAAAAGGGGUGAACCAAAAGUCAAACGAAAAAAGAAAAAUAAGGAAAUAAAAUAAUAGGAAAACCGAAAAAAUAAAGAUAAACAGGAAACAAGUUUAAAAUAAAAAAUACAGAGGAAACCUCUACCCAAAUGGGGCUGACCCAAUGAUCCACCUUAUAGCACUCACAGUCGUGAGAGAAGCCCCUAUUGUUUCUUGUCACGGAUAGUGCUAGCAAUUUGGUCGAACUUGGUUGAGCUCGCAGCUACUUCGACAGAUACAUAAAUGUUGAUCAAGAGGAUGGACGAGUUGGAUCUCAAUGGGAAUGCAAAAAUGCCGUUUUGCAUGGACCACUGAACUGAAACGUUUGUGAUCAGGCGCAUGUAAAAACUAUGGAGAUGCACCUCUUUUUGGUUGUGAUCGGGCGCUAUGAAACACCGCACUUUAAUUUGCUCAUAUUGCUAUGCAUUUGGAAUGAAAGAGGUCGGACCAUGUCGGACGUUUAGGGAAUGCGGUUGGAUGGCUGGCUCCUGUAUCCGCGCUCGUGGACGAGUCCCCUGACAGAUAGUGUGUCCGUUUUAGGGGACGCAUUGUAGAUGGCCUGACAAUCAUAAGGUCAAUCCACCCGGCUUCAAAAUCUAGACUUGGCAUGGGUGUUUGUAUUUUCCUGGAUUUAUUUCAAUUUUUUUAGUGUUCAUUCCUUUCAAGGAGACAAGGUUCUCGUCAACUACGAGGCUCAUGUGUUAAGUUCGUGAAUCUCAAGAUUUGCGGUUUAGUCUUUUAGAGGUGCUCAUCGGGGCAAGGUCUGCUUGCAUAGUUCAUAAGAUGAGUGUUCGUACAUUUACACGAGUGUCAGCAUUUGCACAGUUUUUUUUAAUAGAAAGGCUUAUGGUCACUCCACACCAUCAGAUCACUAGUCAUGAGUAAAAAAUGGAUGCAGCUUCGGUGCCUUAAAGGCACCUGCCUUUGGGUCACUGACAUGUGGGCCAGCCACUUGUUGGGCCCACAUGUCAUAGACACAAAGGUAGGUGCUAAGGCACCGAAGCAUCGUCCGCAAAAAAUCCACUAAGCAUCAAACAUGGCAAAAUCAUCUCUGAGGAAAGAGAUGGGAUCAUUCUCCAAAGAAUAAGUAAGCAACCAAAAAAGCUCGGUGUCGAUGUAUUUCUCUUUUGUUGGCACGAACCAGUGCCCUCAGGAUCCAAGUAAUUUUGAAAGAACAGGUAACAACAACACAAAGAAAAAGAAUGAAUCAACAGCUGAGCAUUCUGAUGAGUGGGACCGGAGUCGUGAGACAUUGAUCGUCACGAAGGGUAGAGCGCCAAGAACUUGGGAGACAAGCACGGUGAGCUCCUCCAGAUCCUGGAGUGCAGCUUGAGCACCUCGUGCGCCUUCUCCUUGGUCUUGACCCCGCACAGCUCGGACCGCAGCGCCAGGCACAGCUUGCCCACGACGCCGGCCUGCGCCAUCUCCUGCAGCACGGCCGGCGUCGCCGCGUGCCGCGCGACGGACCUCAGCACGCGCACCGCCCGCUCGCUGGCCGCCUCCGACACCCGCAGCACCUUCUUGCCCACCACGGCCACCCCCGCCGCGUGAGCCACCAGCUCGGCGCGCCCCUCGGCGCACGUGCACAGCCGGUCCAGCACGGCCAGCGCGAGCUCGCAGACCCGCCGCUCGGGCUCGUCCAGCAGCAGCUCCACGAGCGCCGGCACCGCGCCGGCGCCGACGAUCUUGACGCGGUUCCGGCCGUACGGGCAGAGCGCGGAGAGCGCGUGGAGCGCCGCCUUAGUGGCGCGCGUCGAGACGCGGUCGCGGACCACGCGGAUCACCUCGGCGAGGAGCUCCUGGUUGAGCCCGAUGACCCAGGCCGGCACGGAGACGUCGGCCAGCGACCUCACGAGCCGCACGGCCUGCGCCCGCGACUGUAGGUUGGACGAGCGGAGCACGGCCGUGAGGGACUCCGCCAGGUUGCCGUGCCUGGACACGACGCGGACCAGCUCCUGCUCCGGGAUCCGGAGCGACGAGAGGACCCCGACGGCCUCCUCCCGCGCAGUGGAGCAAGCGCUGGCGCCGGUGAGGACACGAGACAGCGCGUCGAACACGCCAUCCUGGGACUCGAGCAUUGCCCUCGUGUCCUCGCACUCGGCCACCAAUUCCCCCAGCUUCCUGAGCGCGCCGACCUGGGCCGCGGCGGCGUCGGAGAGCAGCUUCGCGAGCUCGUCCCGGCGCACGGGCCUCAGCGCGGCCACCUCCCCCUCGACGUCGGAGCCGGGGGAGACGGACGCGACCCAGGAGCCGAUGAGGCGGCGGAGGGUGUGGUUGGGCGUGAGCUGGAGCUCCGGCUCGAGCGGCUGGCGCGUGACGGGGCAGGUGCGCUGGCUGGUGCUGCACGCGGCCGGCGCAGCGGACGCGGCGAGCCAGCGCGAGAUGGCGGCGCGGUCGUAGGAGAUGCCGGUGGGCAGCGUGACCGGGUCGCGCAUGAGCUGCAGCGAGAUCGGGCAGAGGAAGUAUGAAGGCACCUCGGCCGGGAGCGCGCUCGGCGCCGCCAUGGCUGCUGACAUCUUCUCCGGAGUUGAUUAGCUCGCUCGGCCGCAACAGGUUAGACGCGUCCGACGAAAUGCGCCGCGGGUUGACGAAAUGGCGGUGGGGCGCCGGGGCGGGAUAUAUAGUAAGCCGGUUGGUAGCCCGUGGCCGGUGCGCGCGCGUCCGCAAGCUGGAGCUCUAGUUUAUUCGAGCGAGCUAGCUAUCUGUGGGUUUUGGAAGAAGAAGUUGGAACGAAGAAGACCAGCGGAGCGGGCGCGGGUUGCCGAGGCAGCUGUUGCCUCUGGAUUAUUUUAAGGCGUCGGGAUUCGUCGUGAGUGGUGUUCACAUGCAUCACAUCACAUGGCUGCCCUUUGUUUACUGGUCGCUCGCGGCUCGGGUCAGAGUGGAGCCACAUUCACGUGCUAGGCCCUCGCUUUGUACUAUUUCCAAAUUAGGUCCGUAAUUACUCCUCCAUUUGACAUUUUGGAUAGUUGACUUUGUGGAGCGUUCGUGCGUUAACGUCGCGGUAGCUGGGUUUCUCCUCUCGCUUCGCUUCUCCGGCCUUCACCUUCACGUUGGAAAAGUAGGCGACGGUUGUGAAACAUGUGGUGUCCAUAGAUAGAUGGCAGCUCCCAUUGGCGGCCUCGACUUUUCCUUCACCACCGCGAGCUAGCUUUGACUGGCCAGGUGCGUGCGCAAGCUGAUCCAGUCCUACCGAGCUGGCUGUAGCACGAUCUUAACGUUUGACACACCACCGAUUGCUUGGUGCAGGACCUCCGAGAGAUCGAGUUCCAUCCGUAAACCCCCAUCGGCAGCUCAGAAAACUCCUACCGGUAGUUCCAAUUUUGCCGGAAAUCCCCCAUGUGUGUGGUUCCUGAAAUGUCUACAAGCUCAGCCCCCUUUGCGCAAAGUGAGCCUGCAUGGGAUGGGAUGCGAUUGGUAACUUGCCAGAGUGGGGAGGCUCGAUCGAACGGUUGACCUGGAAAAUUGCAGAGGUUAACAUAUUUGUACGAAUAGGCAGGAGCAUAGGGAAUCGCGCUGUCCCUGCCCUGUGAGCCGUGUUGUUAAUGUUCAGAUCUCUGACCCUGCUGGGUGCCGCCAUGUUCCGUCUAUUGAGAUGUGCGCACCGCGGCGAGGUGCCGCCAUCCCAUAGGCUUUGACCACCUAAUUCUGACUUGUUUAAUGCUUCACCUGAUCGAUCUGAAAAUAUGAUGAUCUGCUCCAACCUGUCACGCUGAGUUUUCUAAGUCCCGCGCCUUCAGAAUCUUUCCAUGGAUCCCUCUUUCAAUGGCUACGAUCUAUCUUUUCUUAUAUCCAUGUCGUCUUUUAGACAGGGGUUAUAUAGUCCUAUCUUUUAUCCUAACUUUUUUACAAGAUCUGGCUCUCAAAAGUUGUCGUUUUAGAUAGAUCUACAAGUCAAUCAUUUUGAAGAAAAAACUGAAGCUAUAUCUUUUGGAUUGAUAUUUUUUUUGAAACAAGGCAAAAGAUUUGCCAUUUUCAUUAACUAAGAAGAGGUUUCGUUACAAGCAGACCGCCAAGCGGUCAAAAGGCAAAACAAUUACUCUCGCGGCAUUAUAUUACGCAAAUGUUUGGCGCUCGCAAUGGCCCAAAUGGACACUUGGAUUGAUACUUGGAAACCACUCCUAAAAAUUACCUUUAAAAGUAAUAUCAUUAACACAAAUUUGUUGAGUUCAUGAUAUGAUGUAAUUAGAUUGGCGCUCAAUUAGUAGCAUUUUGCCACCAUAUUGACAAAUUUGUUUUAAUGAUAUUACUUUUAAAGGUAAUUUUUAGGAGUGGUUUCCGAGUAUCAAUCCAAAAGAGCAAAAUGCUAAACCAUGCAAGGAACAAAAUGUAUGUUGUAUCCUUUGAUUAUGAAUUGGUGAUGUAUAGAUGCCACCCGUAUAGGCAAAUAGUAGUUGAAUUCCAUGAGUGUAGGUGGAUGUGGUUGUGUUGAUGCCCAUCAGACUAUUUUAUUCAUAUGCUGCAUUUUGACUUGUUGUAUGGACGUGGUGGUUGCUUUAUUUAUACAGCGGGACAAAAACCUAUUUCGGAGUAGGUGGUUGUGCACUAGGUUUAAUGUUUGUGUGUCCUACUAAGAUAGAUUAUUUUACUCAAUGUUUUUCAAAACAAAAUGGUUGAAUCCCGCUAAAUGAUGAUUUAUCGUAUAAAUCAGUGCUCAACUUCUUCUUAACCCCUGAAUCUAGCUGGACAACGAAUUAUUUGAUAUUCUGUGUUGUUGGUUCCAAUCUAAACACGCAAAACAAGAAAUUCCAGCUGAGCAAACUGUUAUACUAGGACAGCAGUUCCAUCCACAGUUUUGCAAAAUCUGGGGGCACAUAGAGUUUACGAGAAUAAAUUGAAUACUUCCUCCGUUUUUUAUACAUGGCCACUUCGUUUUUGUGUCAAACUUUGACUUGUAAUUUUGGUCGAUAAAAUAUGAGUUAUAUGCCUCAUAUUUGUUGUACGUGCAAUGAUGUACUUUUUGUGGCAUAUAACUCAUAUUUGUUGUAAAAUUAAUGACCAAAUUUCUUAGAAAUAAAAAUAUGCAGUCACCUUGUAUUAAAAAAAUGGAGGGAGUACUCCGUAUGGUAGAUAUCAUCUUAUAUACCAGACUCCCAUCCAUUUAACCACGGCUGCUAUAAGAACAGGGUGCACAUAUUACAAGACUCUUUGUAGUUAACCAUGUUCACGAAUCCCCGCAAAAAAAAAAAAAAAACAUGUUCCCGAAUGGAUCAUUCCAGGUUCCAGCUUACAUUGCACUCCAGAUCCGUGCAGUCCGGAUCCAAGUACAUUUGCAUCAUGUCAACGAUAAUACUAUUCAAGAGAUCUCGUCCCCGACGUUUCAUAAAAAGAAG